GCUGAAGUGGCUCAGUCGGUAGAGCAGCUGAUUCGUAAUCAGCAGGUCGUCGGUUCAAGUCCGAUCUUCAGCUCCA
rnacentral:tRNA from 2 species